UACGAAGGGGGCUAGCGUUGCUCGGAAUCACUGGGCGUAAAGGGUGCGUAGGCGGGUCUUUUAAGUCAGGGGUGAAUCCUGGAGCUCAACUCCAGAACUGCCUUUGAUACUGAAGAUCUUGAGUUCGGGAGAGGUGAGUGGAACUGCGAGUGUAGAGGUGAAUUCGUAGAUAUUCGCAAGAACACCAGUGGCGAAGGCGGCUCACUGGCCCGAUACUGACGCUGAGGCACGAAAGCGUUGGGAGCAAACAGG
rnacentral:rRNA from 1 species